rnacentral:rRNA from 1 species
AGUGAACGCUGGCGGUAGGCCUAACACAUGCCAGUCGAACGGCAGCACAGUAAGAGCUUGCUCUUACGGGUGGCGAGUGGCGGACGGGUGAGGAAUACAUCGGAAUCUACUUUUUCGUGGGGGAUAACGUAGGGAAACUUACGCUAAUACCGCAUACGACCUACGGGUGAAAGCAGGGGAUCUUCGGACCUUGCGCGAUUGAAUGAGCCGAUGUCGGAUUAGCUAGUUGGCGGGGUAAAGGCCCACCAAGGCGACGAUCCGUAGCUGGUCUGAGAGGAUGAUCAGCCACACUGGAACUGAGACACGGUCCAGACUCCUACGGGAGGCAGCAGUGGGGAAUAUUGGACAAUGGGCGCAAGCCUGAUCCAGCCAUACCGCGUGGGUGAAGAAGGCCUUCGGGUUGUAAAGCCCUUUUGUUGGGAAAGAAAAGCAGCAGGUUAAUACCCCGCUGUUCUGACGGUACCCAAAGAAUAAGCACCGGCUAACUUCGCG